AGUUAACAUGCCUUACUGAGCAGUCCAUUGAUUCAUCUGCCUGUUAUAUUGUGAUCUCUGCCUGUUUGCUUUACCUGAUUACCUCCUAUGGAUUUGCCCUCUAACCUGAAUACUUCACCUACCGAGAAUCCAGCAGGUUUUGUUAAUUGGGCUCGGUUUUGGAUCUGCAACCAGCAUUUGCUUAUCAGCAAGACCUGCUUCUAAACUACCAAGAACAACUCAACAAAGUUCAGGCAGUAAACAAGCACUGCCACCACCAUCUCCCCAGAUGGAAAAAAACUGUCCUCGGCAACAUAACAUCCCGAAACUACACCUCAGAUGAAGCCAGAAGAACCGUCGCAAGUUUCAAAGAUGAAUAACGGCGCGUUCUGGGCUUCAUUCAGCGCGGCUCUUAUCUGCACCGCUGCAGAGGCCGGUUAGUGGUUCCUGUUAUUGCGGUUUCAUGUCACGGAGGCCGAUCCGCGCACCCAGCUUGGCCGUGCAGCGAUCCACCAGCCUUUUUCACCAUCGAACAAUUCAGAUUGUGUGCAGCACCUCGGCGAAGAAUUUCGAUUGUUUGUUAUUACAAUGCCAGCCCUCGGUAGGCCCAGCGAGCGUUGUUUUGACGUCCGAGAACAAUCAGCGUUUGCAAUAAAAGGAGACCCUGUCCUCCCUGCGCACUGCGAAGGUCUUCCCGAAUUGCUGGAAAGCUUGAACAGGGUCCAAUGUGUUUUUCCUGUAGCUGGAGAGUUUUUUUUUUUUUUUUUUGUGUA